UCAACAAAGCUGAAUAAUAUUAUAGAUUAUAUUAAUUCUGUGUUGCUGGUUGUAUAUAUGUCUGAAUUUUUUGUCAUUUCUAUUUUUAGUUCCUCAUUUUGAAUCCGCUGCCCCGGAUCACCACACGCCCCCUCUGACAUGUGCCCGAUCCGCGACCGCUUCUCAUUACCUGCCAGGCGCCCGGAUUAGUCACAGAUAUUGCAUAUCCAAGCAGGAAGAGACCCCGCCCGACCUCCCCUCCCUCCAACACGCCCACCUACGUUUGUGUGACUGUCCGGCCAGGUCGGUGCCUCUGCCUCUUGGAUUCAGCUUUAGACCGCCAUGCCACCACGUGAUGGAUUGGCGUCCUGUCCGAGCAGGAAAACUGAGAAGCCGGCUAGCAAUCAGCGCACAGAAAACAACGAGAACCAGGACAAAGUGAAGCAGGAAAAAAAAACCCGCAGCGAUAAGAACCAGACCUUUUGUUUCUGACAUGGUAACAAACAAAACAUUUUUAUUUCUCAAUGAAAACAGCUGCCUAAUUUAUUGUUGACAUAAACUGUAAUAUUUGCUGGGCCAGAUGUGAAUUUAUAAUGAAAAUAAACACAUCUGGAUUAA